ACGCUCGACACCUAGGGGGCAGCAGUGGGGAAUAUUGCACAAUGGGGGAAACCCUGAUGCAGCGACGCCGCGUGAGUGAAGAAGUAUUUCGGUAUGUAAAGCUCUAUCAGCAGGGAAGAAAAUGACGGUACCUGACUAAGAAGCCCCGGCUAACUACGUGCCAGCAGCCGCGGUAAUCUGAGCGGGCUGGCAAGGC
rnacentral:rRNA from 1 species